UAUAGCCUUCAUCUUAUUAUAUUAAAGGUUACUCCCUUGUUCGUUAUAGCCUUCAUCUUAUUAUAUUAAAGGUUACUCCCUUCUUCGUUAUAGCCUUCAUCUUAUUAUAUUAAAGGUUACUCCCUUGUUCGUUAUAGCCUUCAUCUUAUUAUAUUAAAGGUUACUCCCUUGUUCGUUAUAGCCUUCAUCUUAUUAUAUUAAAGGUUACUCCCUUGUUCGUUAUAGCCUUCAUCUUAUUAUAUUAAAGGUUACUCCCUUGUUCGUUAUAGCCUUCAUCUUAUUAUAUUAAAGGUUACUCCCUUAUUCGUUAUAGCCUUCAUCUUAUUAUAUUAAAGGUUACUCCCUUGUUCGUUAUAGCCUUCAUCUUAUUAUAUUAAAGGUUACUCCCUUAUUCGUUAUAGCCUUCAUCUUAUUAUAUUAAAGGUUACUCCCUUAUUCGUUAUAGCUUUCAUCUUAUUAUAUUAAAGGUUACUCCCUGUUUUGUUCUUCGCUCAUUUUCCGUUUUUUCCACUGCAAGUGUGCAUAUUUAUUUAUUUAUUUAUUUAUUUAUUAUUCAUUUAUUUAUUUAAUGUUAUUUGUAGUAGUUAACUGAGGGGGGCACUACCCUGGCCUCCUCUUCCUCUGAUUCUCUUACUUCACACAUUUAUCUUAAUACUUCACACUAUUGUUCAUAUGCUUCAUUUUUUUAAUUUUUUUUAUUCAUGACUUUUUAUCCAUACCUCACACUUUUCUUAGUAUUUCACAUUUUUUCUAGAUCAUACUCUACACUUCCUACCUGGGGGACGCGGGUUAGGCCUUUAUAAAGUCACUCUAUGGCUGCAUGCCUGCCGCGGCACACCUCCACGCUGUGAGGCGUAGAGCCCCGUGCUCCCCUCCAUCCUGGGGUAACAAUCCUAAAACAAACAAACCUGAGAGGCAGGACGCUGCCGCUGCCUGUCACCUGACACCCUCUCACUGAUGAAUGGAUCGCGGCGCGGGUGGAGAGAGACUGCCCAUCCCUCUCCACUCCGCCCGGGAAGGAACUCAUGAAUUCUCGGUUGAGUCGCGU